GUGGGCAUUUUGCGGGGCAAGGCAGCUGACUCGAAAUCAGCCAGGGGUUCACGCCCCUCGGGGGUUCAAAUCCUCUUCCCUCCGCCA
rnacentral:tRNA from 1 species